rnacentral:rRNA from 1 species
CCUACGGGGGGCAGCAGUGGGGAAUAUUGCACAAUGGGGGAAACCCUGAUGCAGCGACGCCGCGUGAGUGAAGAAGUCUUUCGGUAUGUAAAGCUCUAUCAGUAGGGAAGAAAAUGACGGUACCUGAUUAAGAAGCCCCGGAUAACUACGUGCCAGCAGCCGUGGUAAUACGGCGGGGGCAAGCGUUAUCCGGAUUUACUGGGUGUAAAGGGAGCGUAGUCGGCAGCAUAAGUCAGGAGUGAAAUGCCGGGGCUUAACCCCGGCAGUGCAUUGGAAACUGUGCAGCUAGAGUGCAGAAGAGGUAAGUGGAAUUCCUGGUGUAGCGGUGAAAUGCGUAGAUAUUAGGAAGAACACCAGUGGCGAAGGCGGCUUACUAGACUGUAACUGACGUUGAGGCUCGAAAGCGUGGGGAGCAAACAGGAUUAGAUACCCUUGUAGUC